rnacentral:lncRNA from 1 species
GGAGCGCUCUCCCCCGCCUCGGGCGGUUGCGGGGCGCCGUCCGGCAGCGGCGCGAAGCCUCUCUCCCGCUUCCUCAGGGCGCUGGAAGCUCCCCGCGCCCCGCUGCCUCCUCGUCCUGCCUCUUCCCUGCUUCCCGGAGCGUUAACGGCCGUUGCCGCUGCGGGCCUUGCCUCCAGCCGGCCUGCUCGAAGGCCGCAAGCCACGGCGCUCGCCCUCAAGCCCUCCGAAUCUAGGUCACGGCAGCAGUCCGGGAGUCCUGACCGAGGACGAGCGCGGGCGGUGACUAACCCAAACAGGUGGUUCAGGUUCGGGAGGAAGGCGGCCGGCAUUACGUUUAGCGUUUCCGCCUCACCCUCCCCAACUCCCCCGGCCGGCCGCAGCCAGCCGGCGAAGCCCGUGCGCGGAUCUAAGGCGCGAACGAUGCUUCCAGAGGGGUCUGACAGCGGGCUCGCUGAGGGCGGCAGCCGGACUUGAACCUCGGGCUUCCCGGGAGAGCCGUCGGAGCUGCCUCACGGCCACCCCACCGCAGCAGCGGGGCACGGCCCUCCGUGCCCAACUCGCACCAGAUGGGGAAGCCAUAGGGAGUUUGUAUCAUGGCAGCUGAUGAGGAUGGACUGGGACUGUUUGAUAUCCGCUACGGUGUCGAAGCUUCCCCUUUCAAGGAAGGUGAUGAGAGCUCCGUGGAUAUUUACGAUGGCUUGGACAAUGGUUUGACAGUCCCUGGUAGGUUGAUUGUAUCUUGCUGCUUGGCUUGGAGCAUUAUAGAGUCUCUGUGCUUCUUAGGCUGGUUUCAAGUAAAACAACAGUUAGCUGUAAGUUUACAUGUAGCUGGUGAGCUGCUUGUUUAAAUUCAAAACAUAUGUGUUACACUGUAUAAAUACAGCAGAGAAUUCCUAAAUCCAUUAGCUGAAUGAUUAUA